GGUUCGAUUAUGGCUCAGAUUGAACGCUGGCGGGAUGCUUUACACAUGCAAGUCGAACGGCAGCACGGACUUCGGUCUGGUGGCGAGUGGCGAACGGGUGAGUAAUGUAUCGGAACGUGCCUAGUAGCGGGGGAUAACUACGCGAAAGCGUAGCCACGCAUAACACCCUUCGGGAAAGCGGGGACCUUCGGGCCUCGCACUAUUAGAGCGGCCGGAUAUCGGAUUAGCUAGCUGGUGGGUAACGGCUCACCAAGGCGACGAUCCGUAGCUACCAGAGAGGUGACUGACCAGCCACACUGGGACUGGAGAUGACGCCCAGACUCCUACGGGAGGCAGCAGUGGGGAAUUUUGACAAUGGGGGAAACCCCGAUCCAGCCAUCCCGCGUGUGCGAGUGAAGGCCUUCGGGUUGUAAAGCACUUUUGGCAGUGAGGGUAAGAAACGGCAUCGGAUAAUACCCCGUGCAACUGACGGUACCUGCAAUAAGCACCGGCUAACUACGUGCCAGCAGCCGCGGUAAUACGUAGGGUGCAAGCGUUAAUCGGAAUUACUGGGCGUAAAGCGUGCGCAGGCGGUUCGGAAAGAAAGAUGUGGAAAUCCCAGAGCUUAACUUUGAACUAUUUUUAACUACUGAUAGAGGUCAGAGGAGGUGGAAUUCCGCGUGUGCAGUGAAAUGCGUAGAUAUGCGGAGGAACACCGACGGCGAAGGCAGCCUCCUCUGGGAUAACACUGAUGCUCAUGCACGAAAGCUGGGGAGCAAACAGGAUUAGAUGCAUUCUGGUGAAUCACACACCCUAAACGAUGUCAACUAGCUGUUGGGGCCUUCGGGCCUUGGUAGCGCAGCUAACGCGUGAAGUUGACCGCCUGGGGAGUACGGUCGCAAGAUUAAACCAAAGAGAAUUGACGGGACUCCGCACAAGCGGUGGAUGAUGUGGAUUAAUUCGAUGAAACGGCGAAAAACCUUAAUUAUCUCUUUGACAUGUUCCGGAAUCCCGAAGAGAUUGGGAGUGCUCGCAAGAGAACCGGAACACAGGUGCUGUACGGCUGUCGUCAGCUCGUGUCGAGAUGUUGGGUUAAGUCCCGCAACGAGCAAAUCCCGUCAUUAGUUGCUACGAAAGGGCACUCUAUCGAGACUGCCGGUGACAAACCAGAGAAGGUGGGGAUGACGUCAAGUCCUCAUGGCUCCUAUGGUAGGGCUUCUUUGCCAUGUCAUACAAUGGUCGCACAGAGGGUCGCCAACCCGCGAGGGGGAGCCAAUCCCAGAAACCCGAUUUGCGGAAGUCCGGAUCGCAGUCUGCAACUCGAUUCACGUGAAGUCGGAAACGCGGGUAAUCGCGGAUCAGCAUGUCGCGGUGAAAUACGUUCCGGGUCUUGUACACACCGUCCGUCACACUACGGGAGUGGGUUUUACCAGAAGUAGUUAGCCUAACCGUAAGGAGGGCGAUUACCACGGUAGGAUUCAUGACUGGGGUGAAGUCGUAACGCGGUAA
rnacentral:rRNA from 1 species